CUGCUUGCUUCACAGAAUAUAUACUAAAACUGAAAUGAUACAGAAAAGAUUAGCAUGGCCCCAGUCCAAGGAUGACAGGCUAAAAAUGUAACUGUGUAACUCUUGU
ensembl:snRNA U6 U6 spliceosomal RNA